UUUACUAUCCCCUUAGCUGAGCAAGACUGUGAACAGUUUGCAUUUACAAUUCCUGCAGUAAACAACCUGCAGCCUGCUAAGCGUUUUCACUGGAAAGUAUUGCCACAAGGCAUGUUAAACAGCCCAACAAUUUGCCAGACUUAUGUAGGGCAAGCAAUUGAACCUACUCGUUAAAAGUUUUCACAGUGUUACAUUAUUCAUUAUAUGGAUGAUAUACUUUGUGCUGCCCCCACUCGAGAAGUAUUACUCCAAUGUUAUGAUCACUUACAAAAUUCGAUUUCUUGCGCUGGUUUAAUUAUAGCUCCUGACAAAAUUCAGACUACUACUCCUUACUCCUACUUGGGGACCUUAGUAAAUGACACUACCAUUGUGCCACAGAAAGCAACCAUACAUAGGAAUCAAUUGAAAACAUUAAAGGACUUUCAAAAAUUACUAGGGGACAUUAAUUGGAUACGACCUGCUCUAGGCAUUCCUACCUAUGCCAUGAGUAAUCUAUUUUCUAUCCUUAGAGGAGAUCCUGGUCUCACAAGCCCUCGGUAAUUAACAAGAGAAGCUGAGGCAGAGCUGCGGCUAAUCGAAAAGCAAGUCCAUAAAGCUCAAAUAAAUAGAUUAGAUCCAGAGAAGACUCUAGAUUUGCUAAUUUUUCCAACUCAGCAUUCACCUACUGGUGUUAUUGUUCAAGAGUGAGAUCUUGUAGAGUGGCUUUUUCUUCCACAUACUAAUUCACGGACUCUAACUCCUUAUUUGGAUCAAAUUGCUACUAUGAUAGGAAAUGGGAGAACUCGGAUUGUUAAAUUACAUGGAUAUGAUCCUGGAAAAAUUAUUAUCCCUCUCACAAAGGCACAAAUACAGCAAGCUUUUAUAAAUAGUCUUACUUGGCAAACCAAUUAAGCUGACUUUGUGGGUAUUCUCGAUAACCAUUUUCCUAAACAAAACUGUUUUAAUUUUUGAAAUUAACUAAUUGGAUUCUCCCUAAAAUAACUAAAUUUAAACCAAUUGAAGGUGCUGAAAAUGUUUUUACAGAUGGGUCUAGUAAUGGUAAAGCUUCUUAUUCUGGCUCAAAAAGUAAAGUUUUUCAGAUGCCCUAUACUUCAGCUCAAAAAGUGGAGCCUGUAGCUGUAAUUGAGGUAGUGACUGCUUUUCAUAUGCCUAUUAAUGUGAUUUCUGACUCUUCAUACGUGAUUCAUUCCACACAAUUAACUGAAAAUGCUCAGUUACAAUUUCCUGCAGAUGAACAACUGAUGAUUUUAUUUACCCAACUGCAAACAGCAGUUAGGAGUAGAAUGCACCCUUUUUACAUCACUCACAUUAGGGCUCAUACACCUCUUCCAGGCGUCACCUUUUGCAGUGUUUUGCAGUGAUGGGCAUUCCAGCUUCUAUUAAAACAGAUAAAGCCCCAGGCUACACUAGCCGAGCUCUAGCUACAUUUUUCUCUAUACGGAAUAUUAAACACAUUACUGGUAUCCCAUAUAAUUCUCAAGGACAAGCCAUAGUGGAAAGAAUGAAUCUCUCCCUGAAACAGCAGUUGCAAAAGCAAAAAAAAGGGGGGAAAACAAGGACUACGGGACACCCCAUAUGCAACUGAAUCUAGCAUUGUUAACUUUAAAUUUUUUGAGCCUGCCUAAAGGCCAGAUCCUAUCAGUAGCUGAACAGCAUCUACAGAAACCAGCUGCAAAGACAGAAGCAGAACAACUAGUUUGGUGGAGAGAUCCAAUAACAAAAAGUUAGGAAAUAGGUAAAAUAAUAACUUGGGGUAGAGGUUAUGCUUGUGUUUCUCCAGGACUGACUCAACAGCCGAUUUGGAUACCAUCAAGACACCUGAAACCUUAUCAUGAGCCAGAUGCUGAGGAAGAGAUUCCGGGAGGAAACUGAGGACCCCCCCCACCCCCGGUUGCAGCCAUGUCGAGACUGACGCUGAGGAAGACCCCAACUGUCACGAGCAACACCUGUCAAACACAGCCACCCACCUGGAGACAGAUCAAGAAGCUGUCACAGAUGGUGGAAGAAAACCUGAGGAAAGUGGGACAACCAGUCGCAAUGAGUAAUUUAAUGGUAGCUAUGAUAGCGAUGAUCACCACUGCCAUGAGUAUUCCUUCAAUAAGGGCUGACACAGAGGACAAUUAUACUUAUUGGGCAUAUUUAUCAAUCUUGGCUGGCAAUAAUGCCUGGAUGUAAUCACUCUAUGACACAGUUAUACAAGCUUUCUGAUCUCAUAAUAAAUCUGCUCCUAUAAUUGAGGCAUACUGCCCUCAAAAACAUAUUUGUAAACAGGAUUGGACCCAGUUAGCAAAAAUGAACGUACUUGUUUAGGAAGAUUGCUUUGCAGAACAGGCAGAGGUGCUGCACAACAAUUCCUAUGGAAUCAUUAUUAAUUGGUCACCUAUGGGGAUGUUUAGCUUGAACUGCACCUCUCAGUCUGCAUGCCAUGGCCACACUGUGAUCAGCUCAUCUGAACAAAAUGGUCAGAUGAUAGAAAUGGUAAGAAAUACAGCAAGAGUUCCUAUUAUCUGGAACCAUGGCAGUAUAGUGGCACCUCAGCCUCAAAUGAUAUGGCCUGCUCUAGGAGCUAAACAUAAGCAUUUGUGGAAACUGUUAAUAGCUCUUAAUAAAAUCAAAAUUUGGGAAAGAAUAAAAAAGCAUCUAGAAGGCCACUCUACAAACUUGUAUUUGGAUAUUGCAAAAUUGAAAGAACAAAUAUUUAAAGUAUCCCAGGCACACGUGAACUUAAUGCCAGGAACUGGAGUGCUUGAAGGAGCUGCAGACAGAUUAGCAGCUAGUAACCCAUUCAAAUGGAUAAAAACACUUGGAGGCUCUGUGAUUUCAAUGAUGAUUGUGCUUUUACUCUGUGUUGUUUGUCUUUGUAUAGUGUGCAGAUGCGGAUCCUGACUCCUGUGAGAAGUAGCUCACCGUGACAAAGCUGCCUUUGCUUUUAUCACUUUGCAAAACAAAAAAGGGGACAUGUUGGGAACAGGCCCCUGAAUCUGGCCAUAAACUGGCCCCAAAACUGGCCAUAAACAAAAUCUCUGCAGCACUGUGACAUGUUCAUGAUGGCCAUGACCCCCACCCUGAAGGUCGUGGGUUUACUGGAAUGAGGGCAAGGAACACCUGGCUCACCCAGGAUGGAAAACGGCUUAAAGGGGUUCCUGUACCACAAACAAUAGCAUGAGCGAUCUGUGCCUUAAGGACAUGUUCCUGCUGCAGAUAACUAGCCAGAGCCCAUCCGUUUAUUUUGGCACAUCCCUUUAUUUCCCAUAAGAAAUGCUUUUAGUUAAUCUAUAAUCUAUAGAAAUAAUGCUUAUCACUGGCUUGCUGUCAAUAAAUAUGUGUGUAAAUCUC
ensembl:lncRNA ERVK9-11 endogenous retrovirus group K9, member 11